AUGAGCUCCCCUCUGACCAUCCUGCUUCUGCUCUGUGUGCCUUGUGUCCAUGGCAUCAGUCUGGCCUCGUCUCCAGACCAGCUCAGGUCUCCUGGUGCCUCGGUGAAGAUCUCCUGCCAGGUGUCUGGUUAUGCCCUCACUGACUACGGCACGGGCUGGAUCCAACAGCCUCCAGGCAAAGCCAUGCAGUGGAUUGGGAUCAUGUGGGGUGGAGGCUCCUUUGACUACGCCGACUCCUUCAAGAGGCGCUUUAGCAUCAGCAGAGACAGCAGCAAUGUGCUCUACUUGGACAUCAGCAGCCUGCAGCCUGAGGACUCAGCAGUGUACUAUUGUGCCAAGACACACAGUGCAGCAGCUCAGUGGAGGAGCUGA